GCGGUCGUGGCGGAAUUGGUAGACGCGCUGGGUUUAGGUUCCAGUGCCGCAAGGUGUGAGAGUUCGAGUCUCUCCGACCGCA
rnacentral:tRNA from 1 species